AAAGGUUUAGGUUCAAUCUCUUAGACCAAAGGCCUUCAAAGCCUUAAGCAGGUGUUAAAUCACCUAACCUUUG
rnacentral:tRNA from 1 species